rnacentral:tRNA from 1 species
AGUAUUAUAUUUUAAAGAAAAUUUUGAAUUGCAAGUUUAAAGAUAGGGCAUCCUUAAUACUU